rnacentral:rRNA from 1 species
UUUAUUGGAACUGGAAUGAAAGGCUCAACAAACACAUAAUUUUUUAUUUUUAGAUGUUAUAAUUUUUAAUUUACGUAAAAAUACGUAAAUGAAUUUAAGGGACGAUAAGACCCUAAAAGCUUUAUUAUUUAAAUUUUUUUUAUUAUUUAGAUUUUAUUGUUUAAUGUAUUUUAACUGGGGCGGUUGUUUUUUUAACAAAAUUUUUUUUUUACAAAUAGGAUUAAAGAUCCUUAAAAUUAGGAUAGAUUGUUUAAGUUACUUUAGGGAUAACAGCGUUAUAAUAAUAGGGAGACCUUAUUUAUAUUGUUGAUUGCGACCUCGAUGUUGAAUUAAAUUUUUCUAUAUAAAGCAGAAAUUAUAUAUGAAAGUUUGUUCAACUUUUAAAUUUUUACAUGAUCUGAGUUCAAA